GACGAACGCUGGCGGCAUGCCUAAUACAUGCAAGUUGAACGAUGAUAUUCUCUGCUUGCAGAGAAUUGAAGAGUAGCGAACGGGUGAGUAACACGUGGGGAACCUGCCCAUGAGAGGGGGAUAACAUUCGGAAACGGAUGCUAAUACCGCAUAAUGCUUUGGACCGCCUGGUCCAGAGACGAAAGACGGCUUUUGCUGUCACUCAUGGAUGGCCCCGCGCCGUAUUAGCUAGUUGGUGAGGUAAUGGCUCACCAAAGCUGUGAUACGUAGCCGACCUGAGAGGGGGAUCGGCCACACUGGGACUGAGACACGGCCCAGACUCCUACGGGAGGCAGCAGUAGGGAAUCUUCCACAAUGGGCGAAAGCCUGAUGGAGCAAUGCCGCGUGAAUGAAGAAGGUCUUCGGAUCGUAAAGUUCUGUUAUUAGAGAAGAACAAGUCAAGGAGUAACUGUCUUGACUUUGACGGUACCUAACCAGAAAGUCACGGCUAACUACGUG
rnacentral:rRNA from 1 species